GAGUGAACGCUGGCGGUAGGCCUAACACAUGCAAGUCGAACGGCAGCACAGUAAGAGCUUGCUCUUACGGGUGGUGAGUGGCGGACGGGUGAGGAAUACAUCGGAAUCUACUUUUUCGUGGGGGAUAACGUAGGGAAACUUACGCUAAUACCGCAUACGACCUACGGGUGAAAGCAGGGGAUCUUCGGACCUUGCGCGAUUGAAUGAGCCGAUGUCGGAUUAGCUAGUUGGCGGGGUAAAGGCCCACCAAGGCGACGAUCCGUAGCUGGUCUGAGAGGAUGAUCAGCCACACUGGAACUGAGACACGGUCCAGACUCCUACGGGAGGCAGCAGUGGGGAAUAUUGGACAAUGGGCGCAAGCCUGAUCCAGCCAUACCGCGUGGGUGAAGAAGGCCUUCGGGUUGUAAAGCCCUUUUGUUGGGAAAGAAAAGCAGCAGGUUAAUACCCCGCUGUUCUGACGGUACCCAAAGAAUAAGCACCGGCUAACUUCGUG
rnacentral:rRNA from 1 species